UAUUAUAUUUGAAUAAAAUUCAAGUUUUUAUUCUAAAAAAACUAUCGACAAAUUAAAAAAACGAUUUUGAUGCAAAAUGUCACGUCUCUAAUAACUAAUGGAAUCUGUAUGGCUAAAGUUCUUUGCCUUUCCCAUUAGGGAUAAAUUGAAAAUAAAAAAAAAUAAGCAAUGGCAAAUGUACGAUUUAUUUACGAAUUUCUAUACAUUAUACAGGUUUAAAUAAUCUUUAUUAAUAUUUAGACGGAACUCCGGCAGAAAAAAUAACUUGGAGGUGUUCCAUUAAAGGUUGGGAAUGACACAGGGGGUAUUUCUCCAUCCCCUCUUCCAUCUCCCAUCAAAAAAACCUCAAAAAUCGACGGGUCAUAUUGGAAAGUUUAACC